rnacentral:rRNA from 1 species
UACCAGCACCCCGAGUGGUCGGGACGAUUAUUGGGCCUAAAGCAUCCGUAGCCGGUUCUACAAGUCUUCCGUUAAAUCCACCUGCUUAACAGAUGGGCUGCGGAAGAUACUAUAGAGCUAGGAGGCGGGAGAGGCAAGCGGUACUCGAUGGGUAGGGGUAAAAAUCCGUUGAUCCAUUGAAGACCACCAGUGGCGAAGGCGGCUUGCCAGAACGCGCUCGACGGUGAGGGAUCGAAAGCUGGGGGAG